UACGUAGGGCGCAAGCGUUGUCCGGAAUUAUUGGGCGUAAAGAGCUCGUAGGCGGUCUGUCGCGUCGGCUGUGAAAACCCGAGGCUCAACCUCGAGACGCCGAUGGAAACCAUCAGACUAGAGUCCGGAAGAGGAGAGUGGAAUUCCUGGUGUAGCGGUGAAAUGCGCAGAUAUCAGGAGGAACACCGGUGGCGAAGGCGGUUCUCUGGGAAUGUUCUGACGCUGAGGAGCGAAAGUGUGGGGAGCGAACAGG
rnacentral:rRNA from 1 species